AUUGAACGCUGGCGGCAUGCCUUACACAUGCAAGUCGAACGGCAUCGCGGGAAAGCUUGCUUUCCUGGCGGCGAGUGGCGAACGGGUGAGUAACACAUCGGAACGUACCGGCUAGUGGGGGAUAACCCGUCGAAAGACGGGCUAAUACCGCAUACGCUCUUCGGAGGAAAGCAGGGGACCUUUGGGCCUUGCGCUAGUCGAGCGGCCGAUGUCCGAUUAGCUAGUUGGUGGGGUAAAGGCCUACCAAGGCGACGAUCGGUAGCGGGUCUGAGAGGACGAUACGCCACACUGGGACUGAGACACGGCCCAGACUCCUACGGGAGGCAGCAGUGGGGAAUCUUGGACAAUGGGGGCAACCCUGAUCCAGCAAUGCCGCGUGGGUGAAGAAGGCCUUCGGGUUGUAAAGCCCUUUCGGCAGGGAAGAAAUCGGCGGGGCGAAUAACCCUGCUGGAUGACGGUACCUGCAGAAGAAGCACCGGCUAACUACGUG
rnacentral:rRNA from 1 species